rnacentral:lncRNA from 1 species
AAAAUGUCCAGAACUCAUACUUUCAAGUUUAAGAUGGCUAAUUUCUUCUUUGAUUCUGGAAUACAUUUCUCUCAUCUCUUUUUAAGAUUACAUAUUUAUUUAUGUAUUUAUGUGUAUGUGUGUGUUUGUGCAUAUGUGUAUAUAUGUAUGAGUGUGCAUGUAUGUGUGUGAGUGCCUGUGUGUAUGUGUGUGCCUAUGUGUAUAUGUAUAUGAGUAUGUGUGUGUAUUUGUGUAUAUAUGUGUGAGUUUUUGUUUGUGUAUGAAUGUGUGUGUAUAUGUGUAUGUGUACGUGUGUGUCUAUGUAUCUCUGUGCAUAUGUAUGUAUAUGUCUCUGUGUGUAUGGGUAUGUGUAUGCCUAUGUGUGUAUGUAUAUGUACAUGUGUGUAUGUGUGUGCAUCUCUGUGUGUUUGUAUGUGUGUAUAUGUAUGUGUUCAUGUGUGUAUGUGUGUGCAUCUCUGUGUGUUUGUAUGUGUGUAUAUGUAUAUAAGUGUGUGAGUGCAUAUGAGUGUGCAUAUAUAUAUUUCUCCUUGUGUAUGUGUGUCUCUGUGCAUGUAUAUGUAUAUGUAUAUGUCUGUGUGUGUAUGGGUAUGUGUGUAUAUGUGUCUGCCUAUGUGUGUAUGUGUGUGUACAUAUGUGUAGGUGUGUGCGUCUCUGUGUGUAUGUAUGUGUGUAUAUAUAUGUGACUAUAUAUGUGUGUGAGUGGGUAUAAGUAUGUGUAUAUAUGUAUUUAUGUGAGUGUGUAUUUCUGCAUAUGUUUGUGUAUGGGUAUGCUCUGCAUGUGUGUAUGUGUAGAGCACACCUUUGAGGAGUCUAAUUUCUCCAUCCACCAUGAGUCACUAGGAUUCAAUGAACUCAGGCUGUGAGACUGGUGGCAAGUGCUAUAUGUGUUGAGUCAUUCUCAUCGUCCACCUCUUUUAAAAUAGAACAUUCUAGCAUAUGUGCUACGUAGAAAAAUCAAGCAUGCAGUGAUGCAGUGAGGCAGAAGCAGUAGCAGAACUAAUGUCUUCCUACUGCUGCAUGCCUUUUGAAGAAGGGCGUGACAGGCUGGGCUCAUACUAUGCAUGUGGACUCGUCCCGUCUUUGUAAGGUGGGAAGGAAAAGUUCCUGUGGACAGAUGUGAUCGCCACAGCCUUGGAUUAAUGAGUGCGAAUGUCUCAUUUCUACUCAAAUGUUCUCUACUGCAGCCUAAAGCUAUUCUACGAUAUUAGUUGGCCUUUCACAAAAAAAGGUUCUUUAAUAAAAUUUGUAGAAAGUUUAAUAUUUGAAUGGCUAUAAUGAUUCUUCAACAAGAGAAAACAGUGCAAAGUUUCUCAAGUUGCUUGUCUGUGGAAUCCCCUUGCUAGGGAACACCUACAUCAAGUUCAUUGCAUGAAACCAGUGUGGAGGGAAGGCACUGCAACCGGGUUCUUGCAUGGUAAUUAUCACGUUGUUGCGUGGUCAUACAGGUUGCAGAACAUUUGAUCUGAACCAGGCGCCUGGAUUCUUUGUCUUGGUCCCAUUUUGUUCUGUUCUACGCUUUCUAUUGUUUCUCAUCAAAUGACUGUGGGCACAUGUGACCAGGGUGGGGGUGGGGCCAGGAUAGUGGGAGCUGUCCUGGAACAAGAGCAGAGAUGGAGGCUUCCUCUCUCCGUGCUCCUUUACGACCCUCUGCCCCCGAGGGCCCCCCCAUACCCCCCAGGUCAGACUUGUAGCCUAUGGCCAAAUUACAGAUUCAACUUCCUCCCUCCAGGAUAAGAAUCAGCCAGGCAGGUUUUUGGAAUUCCUCUUUAUGUAAAUGAAGCAUUCCCUGGCCUCCACCCUAGCCAAUAACACAUACCCACCUUUGAAACCCCUAUCCACUCCCCACAGUCUAUAUAGCCCUUCUUUACCUCAAAUAAAGUUGAUCUGUCUCACUGAAACUGAUUCUGGAAGUCAAUCUGUUGACCCUGUUCCCUCCACACCCACCCCCUGAACCUUGCUCCCCC